AUGUCUCAGAACAACCCCUCCCAGCUCCUCCCCUCAGAGCUGAUCGACCGGUGCAUCGGAUCUAAGAUUUGGGUGAUCAUGAAGGGAGACAAGGAGCUCGUCGGCACCCUCUGCGGGUUCGACGUCUACGUCAACAUGGUCCUCGAGGACGUCACUGAAGAGUAUACUGCCGAGGGCCGGCGCAUUACGAAACUUGAUCAGAUCCUCCUCAAUGGCAACAACAUAGCCAUCUUAGUUCCUGGUGGUUCACCGCCAGAUGCUGCAUGA
rnacentral:rRNA from 1 species